AGUACAGCCGCAAGGUUAAAACUCAAAGGAAUUGACGGGGACCCGCACAAGCGGUGGAGCAUGUGGUUUAAUUCGAUGCAACGCGAAGAACCUUACCUGGUCUUGACAUCCUGCGAACUUUCUAGAAAUAGAUUGGUGCCUUCGGGAACGCAGUGACAGGUGCUGCAUGGCUGUCGUCAGCUCGUGUCGUGAGAUGUUGGGUUAAGUCCCGUAACGAGCGCAACCCCUAUCCUUAUUUGCCAGCACAUCAUGGUGGGAACUAUAAGGAGACUGCCGGUGAUAAACCGGAGGAAGGCGGGGACGACGUCAAGUCAUCAUGGCCCUUACGACCAGGGCUACACACGUGCUACAAUGGGAAGGACAAAGAGCCGCGAAGCCGCGAGGUGUAGCUAAUCUCAUAAACCUUUUCGUAGUCCGGAUUGGAGUCUGCAACUCGACUCCAUGAAGUCGGAAUCGCUAGUAAUCGUAGAUCAGAAUGCUACGGUGAAUACGUUCCCGGGUCUUGUACACACCGCCCGUCAUACCAUGGGAGUGGGUUGCACCAGAAGUGGCUAGUCUAACUUUAUUGAGGGCGGUCACCACGGUGUGAUUCAUGACUGGGGUAAAGUCGUAACAAGGUAACC
rnacentral:rRNA from 1 species